AGAUGACGCACGCCUUGUCCGCAAUUGCAACAAAAGAUUCUCACUAGUAUGGCUUGCAAGGUGAAGGGUUACAUAUGCCACCAACCUAGUCCGCAAUUGCAACCGAAGAUUUUUGGAUGAACCGCAUGAUGAUCGGAUGAAGGCUUUCAGUUGGUCCAGGCCAGGCCAGGUGACCAAUGACGAUGAUAGAUCGGGUUCGAUUCAAGCUAUACGCUUGGUGUAUUUGGUUAUCGUGACUGCGACUGAGUCUAACUCACGUCAAUAGCGCGGUGGCUGGGUCCCAGGCAUGCUUGCCACUUUGUUCCACGGUCCUCAUCUAUGUUUCGACGGUGAUGACACGGACUUAGGUUCAAAGUACGUGUUCCCCUUGAGUCAUUGUGGUUGAUUGAUGGGGGCAAUUAACGGUUGCGUGUCGCUAGUCAUUCAAUUGGUCCCCUUGUUUUAGAGUGUUGGCGGGAUAAGUCGUACGAAUGUUAACAAUAGUAUGCAAUAGCUGGCCAGCGAUCCCCUACCUGAUCUCGAGGGGGAUGGAAUGACUGGGGUUUGAGGCCUGUUGUUAGCCUGCGGAAUUUCGUCGGACGAUAUGUCAGGCGUGUCCGUGUGGAACUUGUGCUAAACCAGUUUAGUACAUAUGACGAAGACAUUGGGCUCUUUGGAUAACAACAGGAUUCUCAACCUCCUUGUGCCUCACAAAGCUAAUAAAAUACGCCCGCUGAAAUCGACGGCGAUGAAGUAGGAGAGCCGGCCUCCAGCUUGUCAGCCGAGAAGACACUGGAUGGACCCCAAGGAUAUGUUGCUGCCAAUGUUGGAGCCAUACAGGGCAGCCCAAGCCAACAUUGUACAAGGGCCACAAGGUCCAGGGCCACAAGGACAAGGGACACAAGAACAAGGGACACAAGAAUAAGGGACACAUAAGACGAUGUUGCAGUCUACUGGGUGUCACAGAGAAUGAGCGAUUUCAUCAUUACCAAGGCCAGCCCGACUCGAGCGAAGUUGCAGAGAUGAAAGUCGAUCACUGUCUGAAGGAGGUUUGAAGGAGGAUGCAAGCAUUGCCCUCUGCAGAUUGAGACAAUGGCUGUCGAGAAGACCCUGACCACUCAACCAAGAUCUACAAUUCGUACUAGAGUAGAUGUGACUCUCAAAGAUUUUGGAUGACGAAGGAAUCCAACGCAUAUAUCACGCUCACAGAUAUGGGCAGAUGACUGAGAGUCGAGUGGAUUCAGUGGAUCGAACGGUUGCGCUGAGGGAUAUCCAUGUACAGGAGUGACGAACCACAGUUCAGCAAACGAUGCCUUGACAGACCAAUUCAAGGAGAACCUUCGCUAAGAUCAGGAAGGGAACGUGUUUGCUGUGUGGAUGGAUUGAACAUUUAAAUGUCCGUCAUUCUAUAGACUAUAAUGACAAUCUUCUAAUGGACUAUAAUGACAAUCUAUUCUAACUCCAAAGGG